rnacentral:miRNA from 1 species
UAAAGGGUAGUGUGGUUCACAGC